AUCACUAUAAUUGUGAAAACAAUUUAAAACCUAAAAACGGAACAGAAAAAGCAGCGAUUUUAACGGUUCCUCCAAUAGCGUCCAUAAGCACACACUCACAUAAUAGCUCCGCUUGUACUGCGCACGCGCAAAAGACGUUCGCCAGUUCCCGUAACAACGCGGAGGCAGCCAUGACACGAAAGGCAGCGGACUACUCUCAAGUCUCUUUAUUUAUUGAUUUAAAAUAUUUAUAACCCGCUCCUCCAGUGCCAUACAGCUCCGGGUGGCUUUCCUUCAGCCUCCGUUCUCUUCCUGAAACGUCGGCCAGGUUCCUCCAUUGGCGACAACAGAAAAAAAUAAAAGCCGUAGCGAGCAUGCGCAGUAGUACGAGUUGAGGCGGGAAAAUCUCUCCGGGCUUUUGGCGGCCUUUCCCGGCUGCGCCUCCCGCUGCCCCGCCCCCUCCCUGCUCCUGACUAGAGCCCAGCCCGCUUCUCUGAUUGGCUGCCCGGGUCUGGCCGCUUGACAGCUGGCCCCGCCCCCCGCAGCUGAGGCGAAGCGCGCGUCGUUUGAGAGGGAGAUUGCAGGCAGCUGCGGGCUGAGGCGAGCGAAGCGCACGAGGAGGAGGAGGAGGAGGGGGCUGCCGCUGGCGCUGCCUGCCUGAGGGGCACGAAGGAAAGGAGAGAGGAGGACAGUCGAAGGCCGCCUCGGCCAGGCUCCCUGGAAAACAAACGCCGGCCCCGAGGCCAAGGAAGGAAGGGCUGAGGGGGCUUCAGGCUCCACCGCCACUGGGAAACCUCUGAGGAGAAACUAGAGGCUGGCUAGGGCACUGCAAGGAAGGGCUCCAUGCCCAGCCUUGGUCUCUACCUUGCCUAAAUUUAUAUUUUAAUAUAUAUAUUAAUAUAUAUUAAUAUAUAUAUAUAUUAUAUUUAUAGAGAGAGAGAGAGAGAGUGAGAGAGUAAUUGAAUAUCUCUGAGGGAAAGGGCUCUAUGCCCAGCCUUGCCCUUUAACUCACAAAAACCAAAAGUCUCUGAGGGGAGGAUGUCUCCAAGAUGCUACAGAGAAGGGCUCUAUGCCCAGCCUUGCCCUUGAACUCACAAAAACCAAAAGUCUCUGAGGGAAGGAUGUCUCCAAGAUGCUACAGAGAAGGGCUCUAUGCCCAGCCUUGCCCUUUAACUCACAAAAACCAAAAGUCUCUGAGGGGAGGAUGUCUCCAAGAUGCUACAGAGAAGGGCUCUAUGCCCAGCCUUGCCCUUGAACUCACAAAAACUAAAUGUUUCUGAGGGGAGGAUGUCUCCAAGAUGCUACAGAGAAGGGCUCUAUGCCCAGCCUUGCCCUUGAACUCACAAAAACCAAAAGUCUCUGAGGGGAGGAUGUCUCCAAGAUGCUACAGAGAAGGGCUCUAUGCCCAGCCUUGCCCUUGAACUCACAAAAACUAAAUGUCUCUGAGGGGAGGAUGUCUCCAAGAUGCUACAGAGAAGGGCUCUAUGCCCAGCCUUGCCCUUUAACUCACAAAAACCAAAAGUCUCUGAGGGGAGGAUGUCUCCAAGAUGCUACAGAGAAGGGCUCUAUGCCCAGCCUUGCCCUUUAACUCACAAAAACCAAAAGUCUCUGAGGGGAAGAUGUCUCCAAGAUGCUACAGAGAAGGGCUCUAUGCCCAGCCUUGCCCUUUAACUCACAGAAACUAAAAGUCUCUGAGGGAAGGAUGUCUCCAAGAUGCUACAGAGAAGGGCUCUAUGCCCAGCCUUGCCCUUUAACUCACAAAAACCAAAAGUCUCUGAGGGGAAGAUGUCUCCAAGAUGCUACAGAGAAGGGCUCUAUGCCCAGCCUUGGCCUUAACUCAGCUAAAUAGAUAAAUCUGAGGGAAGGCAGUCUCUAAGACAGCCUUUACCUAUGUUGCCUCAGGAAAAAGAGUGAAAGGAGAGAAGAUGCUGCUAAGAGAGAAGGGGAGAAGUCAUACAAAGAGCACCUUGAACGCACCGUACUGCCAGGAUAGGGCUUCUUUUAAGAAUCCUUUCUUGGAGAAUGGCAUGAAUAAGGGCUUCAAGCCCACUGCCAAAUAACCGUCCCUAGGAAAAACAAAAACUCUAAGUGGAGAAUUCAUCUCUCUGCUUUGGCUUCAUUCUGCCAAGGGAAAAAAAAGGAAAUCUCUGCAAAUGCUACAGCCGUGCUGACGUGAACAAAAGCCCUGCCAUCUCACUGCCCACAUUCAUAGCAUUCUGUCUGCAAAGGGCAAAACGCAACAGAUUAUCCCCGUCCUCAGAACGCUGGGGCGCCACAGCCUUCUGCAUCACGGCAAAAAAUCUGUUCAUCAUUCCAGCGUAAUUGCUCUGUGCAUGCAAAUGCUGUAAAUAUGCACAGUGUGGGGCAGGACUUCUGAGUGCAACGGCACAGGGGCUGUACCGAAAAUAUCUGAAGCCAGAGGCUGUAGAACUACAGCCUAGGACAUUUUAUUGUCCAAAAUAUGGGGAAACGUGGGGUUAUAUAGCUCAAGGGUGACAGAUUUGGACCCUUGAGUUCCAGAAAACUCUUAAGUCAGGUGCUGUAAACGAAAGUAUGAGCAUUAUUCACUCUCCCAACACCUUUCUAAGGCAGCAUGGUCUCCAAUUUGUGACUUUCUUGAACGGAAUACACUGAAUGAAUGUGAGAAGCUUCAUGCUUCUUUAUUCUUUUAGUACUGCAUAGAGAUAGACAAAUCAGGCAAUAUAUAAAUCUUACAAAUGAAUAGACUUGUUGGACAGGAAAAUCUCUAAGAUGGUGCACUGGAUGGCAUCAGCAUUUGUAAGAUUAUGGCUAUCUUGAAUAGAACACGUUGUUGGGGUGCUUUCUCCUCCCAAAAGGCCUCUUGCCUAAAGAUCUCAAGAAGGAACUAACAGCGUUCCAAGAACAAAGGAAAAGGAGCAACGAAGCACAACAGAAGCCAAACCAGGGGCUGCAGAACUCAAGCCGUGCAAGACUCUCUGAAUACAGGGGCUCUCCACAGGAGCCUCAGGCUUCUUGAUUCCCCCACCCGUUUGUCAGGCAGCAGCAUCUCUAAGAUUCUGGCUGUCCUGAAUGCAACACGCUUCAUGCGUGUCUGAAGCUUCAGGCUUCUUGAUUCUCCCACCAGCCCGGUCAGGUAGCAUCAUCUCUAAGAUUCUGGCUGUCUUGAAUGCAACACGCUUCAUGCGUGUUUGAAGCUUCACGCUUCUUGAUUCAUUCCACGGAGGGGAUGGCCAGCAGUUUCUGUAGGUUUCUAGCAAUCUUGAAUGGAACAGGCUUCAUGCAUGCUCCAUUCUGACCCCUGAAGACUGCUUUGGCAAGAAGAAACAGAAUUGGCGCGCCUUUCUCCAGGACCUCCAGGACCCAAACUUGACAUCGGGACGCUUUCUCCUCCCAAGAGGCCUCUGUGGCAAAUCUCCUUCCUUCAGGUUUCAGGGAAGAACUCACGGCGUCUCAAGAAUGGAAGAAACGGAGCAACGAGGCACGACAGAAGCCAAACCAGGGGCUGCAGAACUCAAGCCGCGCAAGACUCUCUGAAUACAGGGGCUCUCCACAGAAGCCUCAGGCUUCUUGAUUCCCCCACCCGUUUGUCAGGCAGCAGCAUCUCUAAGAUUCUGGCUGUCCUGAUUGAAACAUGCUUCAUGCGUGUCUGAAGCUUCAGGCUUCUUGAUUCUCCAACCAACCCGGUCAGGUAGCAUCAUCUCUAAGAUUCUGGCUGUCUUGAAUGCAACACGCUUCAUGCGUGUUUGAAGCUUCACGCUUCUUCAUUCAUUCCAUGGAGGGGAUAGCCAGCAGUUUCUGUAGGUUUCUAGCAAUCUUGAAUGGAACAGGCUUCAUGCAUGCUCCAUUCUGCCCCCUGAAGACUGCUUUGGCAAGAAGAAACAGAAUUGGCGUGCCUUUCUCCAGGACCUCCAGGCCCUAAACUUGACAUCGGGAUGCUUUCUCCUCCCAAGAGGCCUCUUGCCUAAAGAUCUCAAGAAGGAACUAAGAGUGUUCCAAGAACAAAGGAAAAGGAGCAAUGAAGCACAACAGAAGCCAAACCAGGGGCUGCAGAACUCAAGCCGCGCAAGACUCUCUGAAUACAGGGGCUCUCCACCGAAGCCUCAGGCUUCUUGAUUCCCCCACCCGUUUGUCAGGCAGCAGCAUCUCUAAGAUUCUGGCUGUCCUGAUUGAAACACGCUUCAUGCGUGUCUGAAGCUUCAGGCUUCUUGAUUCUCCCACCAGCCCGGUCAGGUAGCAUCAUCUCUAAGAUUCUGGCUGUCUUGAAUGCAACACGCUUCAUGCGUGUUUGAAGCUUCACACUUCUUGAUUCAUUCCACGGAGGGGAUGGCCAGCAGUUUCUGUAGGUUUCUAGCAAUCUUGAAUGGAACAGGCUUCAUGCAUGCUCCAUUCUGCCCCCUGAAGACUGCUUUGGCAAGAAGAAACAGAAUUGGUGCGCCUUUCUCCAGGACCUCCAGGACCCAAACUUGACAUCGGGAUGCUUUCUCCUCCCAAGAGGCCUCUGUGGCAAAUCUCCUUCCUACAGGUUUCAGGGAAGAACUCACGGCGUCUCAAGAAUGGAAGAAACAGAGCAACGAGGCACGACAAAAGCCAAAACGGGCUGCAGAACUCAAGCCGCGCAAGACUCUCUGAAUACAGGGGCUCUCCACAGAAGCCUCAGGCUUCUUGAUUCCCCCACCCGUUUGUCAGGCAGCAGCAUCUCUAAGAUUCUGGCUGACCUGAAUGCAACACGCUUCAUGCGUGUCUGAAGCUUCAGGCUUCUUGAUUCUCCCACCAGCCCGGUCAGGUAGCAUCAUCUCUAAGAUUCUGGCUGUCUUGAAUGCAACACGCUUCAUGCGUGUUUGAAGCUUCACGCUUCUUGAUUCAUUCCACGGAGGGGAUGGCCAGCAGUUUCUGUAGGUUUCUAGCAAUCUUGAAUGGAACAGGCUUCAUGCAUGCUCCAUUCUGACCCCUGAAGACUGCUUUGGCAAGAAGAAACAGAAUUGGCGCGCCUUUCUCCAGGACCUCCAGGACCCAAACUUGACAUCGGGACGCUUUCUCCUCCCAAGAGGCCUCUGUGGCAAGUAAGUCUCCAGCACAGAGAAAGGAACAACAAAAAGAGAAUGAGGUGGAAGGGGGCUACCGGGCGAGGGGGGGAUUCCCUAGCUGUGUCAUGGCAUUCUAUGAUGAUGUACUUCAUCGGGACUAAAGAAUGUGGACUAGAAAUGUUUGCUCAACAUCUAUUACUAUUAUUAUUGUUGUUAUUACAUUUCAUUCCCGCUCUUCCUGCAAGGAGCCCAGAGCAGUGACUGGCCCAGAGUCACUCAGCUAGUUUCAUGGCUGAAUGGGGAUUUGAACUCGGGUCUCCCCAGUCCUAGUCUAGCACUCUAACCACUACACCACACUGGCUCCUUUACUAGGCAUGGAUUGUCACAGGUUAAUAUAAAAAUGCAAAAACCGUGAGUGGUCCAUUAUCCACAAAAUCUUAUAUUUAAGAUUUAGCUUUGUAUUGAAUUGGUGAUGUUUUCUUGUGAGCCGACGGAGAGGCAAGUUUGCGGCGGGAUGGAAACAUGUCAAAGACAGAAUAUAAUAAAUAAAGUGCCCAGAGACCUGAGUUUUGAGCUCUAUGGAUAUAUGCUCAAUAAAUUAAUGAGCAGCCUUCUAAUCUUACAAGGUGAAGAUGGGAUAUUUCCCUUACUAGAAAAUCUUUCUUCCUUUCCUACAGAUCUUCUUCCUUCAGGUUUCAGGGAAGAACUCACGGCGUCUCAAGAACGGAAGAAACGGAGCAACGAGGCACGACAGAAGCCAAACCAGGGGCUGCAGAACUCAAGCCGCGCAAGACUCUCUGAAUACAGGGGCUCUCCACAGAAGCCUCAGGCUUCUUGAUUCCCCCACCCGUUUGUCAGGCAGCAGCAUCUCUAAGAUUCUGGCUGUCCUGAUUGAAACAUGCUUCAUGCGUGUCUGAAGCUUCAGGCUUCUUGAUUCUCCCACCAACCCGGUCAGGUAGCAUCAUCUCUAAGAUUCUGGCUGUCUUGAAUGCAACACGCUUCAUGCGUGUUUGAAGCUUCACGCUUCUUCAUUCAUUCCAUGGAGGGGAUAGCCAGCAGUUUCUGUAGGUUUCUAGCAAUCUUGAAUGGAACAGGCUUCAUGCAUGCUCCAUUCUGCCCCCUGAAGACUGCUUUGGCAAGAAGAAACAGAAUUGGCGCGCCUUUCUCCAGGACCUCCAGGCCCUAAACUUGACAUCGGGAUGCUUUCUCCUCCCAAGAGGCCUCUUGCCUAAAGAUCUCAAGAAGGAACUAAGAGCGUUCCAAGAACAAAGGAAAAGGAGCAACGAAGCACAACAGAAGCCAAACCAGGGGCUGCAGAACUCAAGCCGCACAAGACUCUCUGAAUACAGGGGCUCUCCACAGAAGCCUCAGGCUUCUUGAUUCCCCCACCCGUUUGUCAGGCAGCAGCAUCUCUAAGAUUCUGGCUGACCUGAAUGCAACACGCUUCAUGCGUGUCUGAAGCUUCAGGCUUCUUGAUUCUCCCACCAGCCCGGUCAGGUAGCAUCAUCUCUAAGAUUCUGGCUGUCUUGAAUGCAACACGCUUCAUGCGUGUUUGAAGCUUCACGCUUCUUGAUUCAUUCCACGGAGGGGAUGGCCAGCAGUUUCUGUAGGUUUCUAGCAAUCUUGAAUGGAACAGGCUUCAUGCAUGCUCCAUUCUGACCCCUGAAGACUGCUUUGGCAAGAAGAAACAGAAUUGGCGCGCCUCUCUCCAGGACCUCCAGGACCCAAACUUGACAGCGGGACGC